GUAAGAGCCCCAAACACUCCUCCAAAAGGCUUCUUGACUCAGACCCUCUGCUGGGAGCCAGUCUUCCCUUAAAAGGCCACCUUAUCGGAAGUGCCUCUGAUGGCAUUUAUGAGCUCUAUUUUUAUCUACAUUGGAAAGCCUCAAAGUUAAUUCCCAAGCCAACAACAUUAAACUCAGGAACGUGGAUGAGCAAGGAAACAUCUUGAUGAUGGCUUUGAGUCACAGCUUUGUUUUCUGUGAUUCAAGACACUGRGUCAGCAUUCCUGCCUCUGGAAAUUUAGGAAAAAUAGGGGCAGCCAGUCCUGGAAGGAAGCCAAUAAGUCCACCAUGAGACCUGCAUUCUUCUCCUCCCMCUCAUCCUCCAAGAACAAGAAGGAGUAGCUUGAGAGCCCACAGGAAAAGGAGCUGAUGGGUCUUGGACACAUUUUCCAGCUGUCACACCUGCUAACAUGGGAACUCACACUUGUAUGCACACACUCACACUCAGCAAUAAAUUCAGAAUCAGGCUUUCUUGUUCCAUCUGUCCUCUGCCCAGAGCAAUGGCAAUAAGAACUUCCAUCAAUAAACUGUUGUUCCCAC